ACUCCUACGGGAGGCAGCAGUGGGAAUAUUGCACAAUGGGCGCAAGCCUGAUGCAGCCAUGCCGCGUGUGUGAAGAAGGCCUUCGGGUUGUGAAAUGCAACUUUCAGUCGUGAGGAAGGUAGUGUAGUUAAUAGCUGCAUUAUUUGACGUUAGCGACAGAAGAAGCACCGGCUAACUCCGUGCCAGCAGCCGCGGUAAUACGGAGGGUGCGAGCGUUAAUCGGAAUUACUGGGCGUAAAGCGCAUGCAGGUGGUUUGUUAAGUCAGAUGUGAAAGCCCGGGCUCAAGCCUC
rnacentral:rRNA from 1 species